GAGGGUAAAGCUCAGUGGUAGAGCGCACGCUUAGCAUGCAUGAGGUCCUGGGUUCAAUCCUCGGUACCGCUA
rnacentral:tRNA from 1 species